CAGAGGUCUCAAGCGUUGUUCGGAUUCAUUGGGCGUAAAGGGUGCGUAGGUGGCGGGGUAAGUCAGGUGUGAAAUCUCGGAGCUCAACUCCGAAACUGCACUUGAUACUGCCUUGCUCGAGUACUGGAGAGGAGAUUGGAAUUUACGGUGUAGCAGUGAAAUGCGUAGAUAUCGUAAGGAAGACCAGUGGCGAAGGCGAACCUCUGGACAGUUACUGACACUGAGGCACGAAGGCCAGGGGAGCAAACGGGAUUAGAUACCCCGGUAGUCCUGGCAGUAAACGGUGCGCGUUUGGUGUGGGAGGAUUCGACCCCUUCUGUGCCGGAGCUAACGCGUUAAACGCGCCGCCUGGGGAGUACGGUCGCAAGAUUA
rnacentral:rRNA from 1 species